AGUGAAUAGAUACCCGGGUAGUCCACGCUGUAAACGAUGAGUGCUGGACGUUGGCGGGUUUACCUGCCGGUGUCGCAGCUAAACGCGUUAAGCACUCCGCCUGGGGAGUACGGCCGCAAGGUUAAAACUCAAAGGAAUUGACGGGGGCCCGCACAAGCGGUGGAGCAUGUGGUUUAAUUCGACGCAACGCGCAGAACCUUACCAGCCCUUGACAUGGGCGGACGGGGUCCAGAGAUGGACUCUUUCUCGCAAGAGACCGCUACACAGGUGCUGCAUGGCUGUCGUCAGCUCGUGUCGUGAGA
rnacentral:rRNA from 1 species